GAUGAACGCUGGCGGCGUGCCUAAUACAUGCAAGUCGAGCGAACGGACGAGAAGCUUGCUUCUCUGAUGUUAGCGGCGGACGGGUGAGUAACACGUGGAUAACCUACCUAUAAGACUGGGAUAACUUCGGGAAACCGGAGCUAAUACCGGAUGAUAUUUUGAACCGCAUGGUUCAAAAGUGAAAGACGGUCUUGCUGUCACUUAUAGAUGGAUCCGCGCUGCAUUAGCUAGUUGGUAAGGUAACGGCUUACCAAGGCAACGAUGCAUAGCCGACCUGAGAGGGUGAUCGGCCACACUGGAGCUGAGACGCGGUCCAGACUCCUACGGGAGGCAGCAGUAGGGAAUCUUCCGCAAUGGGCGAAAGCCUGACGGAGCAACGCCGCGUGAGUGAUGAAGGUCUUCGGAUCGUAAAACUCUGUUAUUAGGGAAGAACAUAUGUGUAAGUAACUGUGCACAUCUUGACGGUACCUAAUCAGAAAGCCACGGCUAACUACGUG
rnacentral:rRNA from 1 species